CUUGUAGCUCAGUUGGUAGAGCACCUGACUCUUAAUCAGGGUGUCCAGGGUUCGAACCCCUGCA
rnacentral:tRNA from 1 species